GGGUGAGUAACGCGUGGGAAUUUGCCUUUCGGUGCGGGACAACCAAGGGAAACUUUGGCUAAUACCGCAUACGCCCUACGGGGGAAAGCGGGGGAUCUUCGGACCUCGCGCUAUUGGAAGAGCUUGCGUUAGAUUAGCUAGUUGGUGGGGUAAAGGCUCACCAAGGCGACGAUCUAUAGCUGGUCUGAGAGGACGAUCAGCCACACUGGAACUGAGACACGGUCCAGACUCC
rnacentral:rRNA from 1 species